rnacentral:rRNA from 1 species
UACGUAGGUGACAAGCGUUGUCCGGAUUUACUGGGCGUAAAGAGCGCGCAGGCGGUCGAUCAAGUCGAGUGUGAAAGCCCCCGGCUCAACUGGGGAGGGUCAUUCGAUACUGAUCGACUCGAAGGCAGGAGAGGGUAGUGGAAUUCCCGGUGUAGUGGUGAAAUGCGCAGAUAUCAGGAGGAACACCGGUGGCGAAGGCGGAUCUCUGGGCCAUUACUGACGCUGAGGAGCGAAAGCGUGGGGAGCGAACAGG